AUUGAACGCUGGCGGCAGGCUUAACACAUGCAAGUCGAGCGGAGAUGAGGUGCUUGCACCUUAUCUUAGCGGCGGACGGGUGAGUAAUGCUUAGGAAUCUGCCUAUUAGUGGGGGACAACAUUCCGAAAGGAAUGCUAAUACCGCAUACGCCCUACGGGGGAAAGCAGGGGAUCUUCGGACCUGGCGCUAAUAGGUGAGCCUAAGUCGGAUUAGCAAGUUGGUGGGGUAAAGGCCUACCAAGGCGACGAUCUGUAGCGGGUCUGAGAGGAGGAUCCUCCACACUGGGACUGAGACACGGCCCAGACUCCUACGGGAGGCAGCGGUGUGGAAUAUUGGACAAUGUGCGGAUGCCUGAUCCAGCCAUGCCGCGUGUGUGAAGAAGGCCUUUUGGUUGUAAAGCACUUUAAGCGAGGAGGAGGCUACCUGGAUUAAUACUCUAGGAUAGUGGACGUUACUCGCAGAAUAAGCACCGGCUAACUCUGUGCCAGCAGCCGCCGUAACAC
rnacentral:rRNA from 1 species